AUGGACUUCGGCGACCACCAGCAGGGGGGCUCCGACAGCCAGCAGCAGCUGCAGGAGCGCCGGAAGCGCCAACGCCGCCACGCACAGGAGCAGGUCCAGAAGUUGGAGGAGUCGUACAAGAAGUACGACCACCCCAAUGAGAUCCAGUGCGCUCAGCUUGGACGCGAGCUUGGUCUGGAGACCAAGCAGGUCAGAUCCUGGUUCCAGAACCACCGGACACAGAUCAAGAUUGAGCACGAGCGGCUGGAGAACCGCUUCCUCCGCUGGGAGAACACAAGUCUCCGCUCCGAGAUCAUGGCAGUGCGGGAGGCGCUCAAGAACUCCGCCACCUGCCCCCACUGCGUCCUCAAGGACUGCAUCGACCAGCAGGAGCUCAAUCGGGAGAACGCUCGCCUCAAGGCGGGGCUCCUCCACUGCACCACAUCUUUCCAAGAUGAACCCUAG
rnacentral:rRNA from 1 species